rnacentral:rRNA from 1 species
GAUGAACGCUGGCGGCGUGCUUAACACAUGCAAGUCGAACGAUUAAGACGGCUUCGGCCGUGUAUAGAGUGGCGAACGGGUGAGUAACACGUGACCAACCUGCCCCGCGCUCCGGGACAACCGCUGGAAACGGCGGCUAAUACCGGAUGCUCCGGGGAGGCCCCAUGGCCUCCCCGGGAAAGCCCUGACGGCGCGGGAUGGGGUCGCGGCCCAUUAGGUAGACGGCGGGGUAACGGCCCACCGUGCCCGCGAUGGGUAGCCGGACUGAGAGGUCGACCGGCCACAUUGGGACUGAGAUACGGCCCAGACUCCUGCGGGAGGCAGCAGUGGGGAAUUUUGCGCAAUGGGGGAAACCCUGACGCAGCAACGCCGCGUGCGGGACGAAGGCCUUCGGGUUGUAAACCGCUUUCAGCAGGGAAGACAUAGACGGUAC